AGAGUUUGAUCCUGGCUCAGAUUGAACGCUGGCGGCAGGCCUAACACAUGCAAGUCGAGCGGUAGCACAGAGAGCUUGCUCUCGGGUGACGAGCGGCGGACGGGUGAGUAAUGUCUGGGAAACUGCCUGAUGGAGGGGGAUAACUACUGGAAACGGUAGCUAAUACCGCAUAAUGUCGCAAGACCAAAGUGGGGGACCUUCGGGCCUCAUGCCAUCAGAUGUGCCCAGAUGGGAUUAGCUAGUAGGUGGGGUAACGGCUCACCUAGGCGACGAUCCCUAGCUGGUCUGAGAGGAUGACCAGCCACACUGGAGCUGAGACACGGUCCAGACUCCUACGGGAGGCAGCAGUGGGGAAUAUUGCACAAUGGGCGCAAGCCUGAUGCAGCCAUGCCGCGUGUGUGAAGAAGGCCUUCGGGUUGUAAAGCACUUUCAGCGGGGAGGAAGGCGGUGAGGUUAAUAACCUCAUCGAUUGACGUUACCCGCAGAAGAAGCACCGGCUAACUCCGUGCCAGCAGCCGCGGUAAUACGGAGGGUGCAAGCGUUAAUCGGAAUUACUGGGCGUAAAGCGCACGCAGGCGGUCUGUCAAGUCGGAUGUGAAAUCCCCGGGCUCAACCUGGGAACUGCAUUCGAAACUGGCAGGCUAGAGUCUUGUAGAGGGGGGUAGAAUUCCAGGUGUAGCGGUGAAAUGCGUAGAGAUCUGGAGGAAUACCGGUGGCGAAGGCGGCCCCCUGGACAAAGACUGACGCUCAGGUGCGAAAGCGUGGGGAGCAAACAGGAUUAGAUACCCUGGUAGUCCACGCCGUAAACGAUGUCGAUUUGGAGGUUGUGCCCUUGAGGCGUGGCUUCCGGAGCUAACGCGUUAAAUCGACCGCCUGGGGAGUACGGCCGCAAGGUUAAAACUCAAAUGAAUUGACGGGGGCCCGCACAAGCGGUGGAGCAUGUGGUUUAAUUCGAUGCAACGCGAAGAACCUUACCUGGUCUUGACAUCCACAGAACUUUCCAGAGAUGGAUUGGUGCCUUCGGGAACUGUGAGACAGGUGCUGCAUGGCUGUCGUCAGCUCGUGUUGUGAAAUGUUGGGUUAAGUCCCGCAACGAGCGCAACCCUUAUCCUUUGUUGCCAGCGGUUCGGCCGGGAACUCAAAGGAGACUGCCAGUGAUAAACUGGAGGAAGGUGGGGAUGACGUCAAGUCAUCAUGGCCCUUACGACCAGGGCUACACACGUGCUACAAUGGCAUAUACAAAGAGAAGCGACCUCGCGAGAGCAAGCGGACCUCAUAAAGUAUGUCGUAGUCCGGAUUGGAGUCUGCAACUCGACUCCAUGAAGUCGGAAUCGCUAGUAAUCGUAGAUCAGAAUGCUACGGUGAAUACGUUCCCGGGCCUUGUACACACCGCCCGUCACACCAUGGGAGUGGGUUGCAA
rnacentral:rRNA from 1 species